GGUGCAAGUGCGUAGGCCGAGUGAUAGGCAAAUCCGUCACUCAUACAGGCUGAGACACGAUGCGGAUAAAAAGUGGGUGAUCCUAUGCUGCCAAGAAAAGCAUCGACGCGAGGUUCAAGCCGCCCGUACCCCAAACCGACUCAGGUGGUCAGGUAGAGAAUACCAAGGAGAUCGAGAGAAUCGUGGUUAAGGAACUCGGCAAAAUGCCCCCGUAACUUCGGGAGAAGGGGGGCCUUCGACGUAUUAGGACUUGCUCCGAAGGCGUUUGGAGGCCGCAGAGACUAGUGGGUAGCGACUGUUUACUAAAAACACAGGUCCGUGCGAAGUC
rnacentral:rRNA from 1 species